rnacentral:rRNA from 1 species
GGCAUGCGGGUGCCAAUCAUGCAAGUCGAAGCGGACAGAUGGGAAGCUUGCUCCCUGAUGUUAGCGGCGGACGGGUGAGUAACACGUGGGUAACCUGCCUGUAAGACUGGGAUAACUCCGGGAAACCGGGGCUAAUACCGGAUGCUUGUUUGAACCGCAUGGUUCAAACAUAAAAGGUGGCUUCGGCUACCACUUACAGAUGGACCCGCGGCGCAUUAGCUAGUUGGUGAGGUAAUGGCUCACCAAGGCAACGAUGCGUAGCCGACCUGAGAGGGUGAUCGGCCACACUGGGACUGAGACACGGCCCAGACUCCUACGGGAGGCAGCAGUAGGGAAUCUUCCGCAAUGGACGAAAGUCUGACGGAGCAACGCCGCGUGAGUGAUGAAGGUUUUCGGAUCGUAAAGCUCUGUUGUUAGGGAAGAACAAGUACCGUUCGAAUAGGGCGGUACCUUGACGGUACCUAACCAGAAAGCCACGGCUAACUACGUGCCAGCAGCCGCGGUAAUACGUAGGUGGCAAGCGUUGUCCGGAAUUAUUGGGCGUAAAGGGCUCGCAGGCGGUUCCUUAAGUCUGAUGUGAAAGCCCCCGGCUCAACCGGGGAGGGUCAUUGGAAACUGGGGAACUUGAGUGCAGAAGAGGAGAGUGGAAUUCCACGUGUAGCGGUGAAAUGCGUAGAGAUGUGGAGGAACACCAGUGGCGAAGGCGACUCUCUGGUCUGUAACUGACGCUGAGGAGCGAAAGCGUGGGGAGCGAACAGGAUUAGAUACCCUGGUAGUCCACGCCGUAAACGAUGAGUGCUAAGUGUUAGGGGUUUCCGCCCCUUAGUGCUGCAGCUAACGCAUUAAGCACUCCGCCUGGGGAGUACGGUCGCAAGACUGAACUCAAGGAAUUGACGGGGCCCGCACAGCGGUGGAGCAUGUGGUUUAAUUCGAGCACGCGAGACCUUACCAGUCUGACAUCCUCUGACAUCCUAGAGAUAGGACGUCCCUCGGGGCAGAGUGACAGUGUGCAUGUGUCGUCAGCUCGUGUCGUGAGAUGUGGGUAGUCCCGCACGAGCGCACCCUGAUCUAGUGCCAGCAU